CUGCUGCCUUCCGUAGGAGUUUGGGCCGUGUCUCAGUCCCAAUGUGGCCGUCCACCCUCUCAGGCCGGCUACUGAUCGUCGCUUUGGUAGGCCGUUACCCUGCCAACUGGCUAAUCAGACGCGGGCCCAUCUUAUACCACCGGAGUUUUUCACCCUGGGCCAUGCGGCCCUGGGCGCUUAUGCGGUCUUAGCACCUAUUUCUAAGUGUUAUCCCCCUGUAUAAGGCAGGUUACCCACGCGUUACUCACCCGUCCGCCACUAAAGUAAAAAUUG
rnacentral:rRNA from 1 species